CGCCUUUUGAACUAUAAACAUAAAAGGUCCUGCCUGCCCAGUGACUUGUUUUAACGGCCGCGGUAUCAUGACCGUGCAAAGGUAGCGUAAUCACUUGUCUUUUAAAUAAAGACCAGUAUGAAUGGCAAGACGAAAGCCUAACUGUCUCCCCGGAUUAGUCAAUGAAAUUGAUUUUCCCGUGCAGAAGCGGGAAUAAUAAUAUAAGACGAGAAGACCCUGUGGAGCUUUAAACUUAAGCUAACAAACCAAAAUGCCUUAGCACCCAGUUUUAGGUUGGGGCGACCACGAGGUAAAACACAACCCUCGACAUAAACAAAGAAGGACACUUCAAAUAACAUUAUAAUAUAUUGACCCAAUAAUUGAUCAACGAACCAAGUUACCCCAGGGAUAACAGCGCAAUCUACUCAAAGAGCCCAUAUCGACGAGCAGGUUUACGACCUCGAUGUUGGAUCAGGACUCCCCAAUAACGCAACCGUUAUUAAAGGUUCGUUUGUUCAACGAUUAAAGUCCU
rnacentral:rRNA from 1 species